rnacentral:lncRNA from 1 species
CCGGAAGUCCACCAUUCCAUAAAUAAAUCAAUGGCUAAAACGGAAUUUUAACAAACGGUCAGGAACCUCUCAUCAUGGGCAACUCAUACAGCCGCUUUAUCCAUGGAGCCAAACACAAGACCGAAAAAAAAGGGAACCAAACACAUUAGAAUAACACAUAGAAGGCUAGCCUCGAGCAUCAUCUGCAAUCAUGAACGAAGCAAUUCAACGCCAGCGAUCUCAAAAGGCGCAUCCUUUCCUUCCGAGAGAGAGAGAGAGAGAGAGAGAGAGAGAGAGAGAGAGA